rnacentral:rRNA from 1 species
UACGAAGGGGGCUAGCGUUGCUCGGAUUGACUGGGCGUAAAGGGCGCGUAGGCGGUUCGUACAGUCAGACGUGAAAUUCCUGGGCUCAACCUGGGGGCUGCGUUUGAUACGUGCGGACUUGAGUGCGGAAGAGGGUCGUGGAAUUCCCAGUGUAGAGGUGAAAUUCGUAGAUAUUGGGAAGAACACCGGUGGCGAAGGCGGCUAUCUGGACUGUGAUUGACGCUGAGGCGCGAAAGCGUGGGGAGCAAACAGG